GGAGACCUAAGGGCAACCUGUCAGUAUCUAAAGGUUCUUAGUAAGACAUCCCAGGACCAUAUCUUUAAUGGAGAAUUAGCCUUCCUGUAGUCUCUGCCUACCUCAGAACACCAAUGCUGCAAGCUGGGAACUGACAGCUGGAUCUGCAGGACACCAACUGCAUCUCUCUGCUCCUGAGACUUGGGGAGAGCCUUCAGGGCUGUGAUAAAGUAGAUGCAACUGAGGUGACCACCUGAUCUUUAAUCUUCUUGGUGAGUAAUUACCAAACUCAGAACAUCUGCACCAUGCAGGCACCAGUGGCUUUUUGCUGUAACAUCCCUUGGGAUGAGAGAUGAUGGCAUUGAGUUGAGGUCUAUGAGCCUUCCUGAACCAACAGUUUCCUUCAGCGUGACUCUGGGGUAAUGAAGAAACAGAAGUUUUGCAUCAGCAGGCUCCUGCAGUGUUUGUCCCAUCUGCAAGCCCAGGCUCCUCCUGUCAUGUCUGGGAUGGCUGCAUCUUUGAAGAGUGGGACCACAAUCAGCCACGAUUCUCAUGUUGGGAUGCUCACAUUCAAGGUGAAGCUGAGGCCUGCAGGAAAUGGUAAUAAUGUGAGAUUCCAGCUGGAAGAAGCUUUCUUGCAGAUCCAGCAAAGGACAGAGGCAUCUGUGAGAAGAAUUUCAAUAGAAUUCCAGAGAAUUACAAUGGAAUUACACAACAGCACGGAAAAUUUAUUUCUUGUUGACAUGAAGAGUCUGUUUUUUGUUUUCCCACACUGCUGGAGGAUGGUAGCAGAAACAUUAAUGGAUGUGGAUCAGCAACAUCGCUCACAGACUGGGAGAGGAGGAAGAAUAUCCUGCCCUUUACCACUGAAGCUUAAUACCAACUUACAGACCAAUCCAUGGCAUUCAUAUUCCUGUCAGCAGAUGUGGAUUUUCCAGCAGCAAAUAAGCCACUAAUGGUACAAAGUCUUUCUCAACAUGGUGUAACACUUGACCAACCCAGGCCAAAAAAUGAAGUCAACUCAUGCAUGUUACUGUAUCACAUCAGGCCAAAGAGCUUUGUCCUUCUGUCACCUAGCAAGGACUGUGUAUGGGGGACUCUUGUGUGUAUGUGUUACAAACCACUGUUGGUCACAUUAACAGAAUAAGAAACCAGAAACAUAAUGGAGGUCAAGUAUGAAGUGUUGUGAGCCUCCAAAUGUAGAGGUCAGGCAUACAAUGAAAACAACAAAACAAAAUUGUAAUGCUAGUUGCAAGCUGCGUGGAUAAUCAAUACCAGAAUGUGAUUCCUUUUAAUCAGGGGUUAUUUUAGAUGGCAUCAGAGGGGGAAAAAAAAAUUAAGUCUAAAUUUGCUAAUUGGGAAGUUGAAAUCCAUGGCUGACAGCAGGCUCCCAGGAAAGAAGUAGGUUGCAUGCAGUAAGAGUAGUGUUCAGCAACAAGGUCACAGCAGUUAGAUCACCAGUGAGAUAGAAGUCCACACUAAGGUAAUUCUUGUGAAUUCUUUUAUAUGCUCGAAGCAGAACAAGGAUAUUGAAGUGUCCUAUCUGGAGGAUUCUCUCCAUGGCACAGCACUCAUAAAUGAAAGCUCUCUGAUCUCAGCCUCUGAAUUGAACCAACAGCUAUCCUAGGCCUAGUAAGAUGGAAAGGCAGCUAUUUCCCAGAACUUGAAUGAUAUCCCCCUCAAAAAGUAUUUGAGCAACUGUUCUUUUGCAUUAAACUGUCCUCAGCUGAGGUGAGGUGGGUUAUUGUCAUAGUAGUGUGUGUGUGUGUGUGU
ensembl:lncRNA